GCCGGGCGCAGUGGCACGCGCCUGUAGUCCCAGCUACUUGGGAGGCUGAGGCUGCAGGAUCGCUUGAGCUCAGGAGUUGUGGGCUGCAGUGCGCUAUGCCGAUCAGGUGCCUGCACUAAGUUCGGCAUCAAUAUGGUGACCUCCCGGGAGCGGGGGACCACCAGGUUGCCUAAGGAGGGGUGAACCGGCCCAGGUCGGAAACGGAGCAGGUCAAAACUCCCGUGCUGAUCAGUAGUGGGAUCGCGCCUGUGAAUAGCCACUGUACUCCAGCCUGGGCAACAUAGCAACACCACGUCUCUU
rnacentral:SRP_RNA from 1 species